rnacentral:lncRNA from 1 species
UUUUUUUUUUUUUUUUACACUCUAGAGAAAUAAGUAGAUGAAUUAAGAGAAAGGGGAUACUAAAAACAUAGCUCAGUUUCUUCUGCCUAAGUAGAAUGACUUCAGAGGAGAAUGUGGCAUUAGGGAAGUGUUAAUCCCACUAGAUAUUACUGCAAAAUAAAUCUUGAAGCACUGCUUCACCAAAGUAAGGGGCUACUACUUAAGUUCAUAAUAUAUAAACUUAGUGUGUAACCUUAUAGGUCUGACGAAUAAUCAAAUCAUCUGCUGUGAAUAAUAACAUUUAUUAUUACUAUUAAGUAAUCAAGUUAAAAUUAGGGAUAUAUUUUGGCAUCUAUUCAUCUACAGGAUAGUUAUUAAUUAUUAUUACUUGGAAGUGGUUUGCUUUAUUUUCUUGGGACAAAAUUUAAAUCAAGCUGUUCUAUUUACUACUUGAAAGAAACUUUCCUGCAAAUAAUCAAGAAAACACAAAAGUACCUCCUUAUUUUCUUUUUCACAUUUACUGUCAUAUACGUAAGAAGAUAAUAAAUAAAGGUAAAUAAAUAAGCAGAUGAUCUCCACCACCCGUUUGGAAGAAUUAGCCAAACAGAUCUACAUCAGCUCACAGAAACUGGGUCUGCAACGUCAGACAAAUGACAGCAGGCUUGACAUACAUUUGUUAGGACAGUUUAGGUAUAAGUGGUUCUGUGGAAAAACUGAUGAACUCUGGCUAAUAUUUUCAACAGUUUUCUAAGAUUCAGGGAAAUCUAGUGAAAAAAAACAUUUGUUGGUCUUUAGAAGGGCAGUAUGCAGUGAAGGAAUUAUCUCUGGUGAAUGGUAUUCCCACUGAAAAUUUGAUCUGUAGGCAAUCUGUAACUCCUGAGCUCUUCUUAGUGAAAACUUUUAUUUAAUUUUAGCUACAUUUUAUUUUAAAAAUGCAGUUCACUCACAGUUAAGUAGCUCACAUUCUAGGUUUGUAAAUAGCUCGUCUAGUAUAUGGGAGAUAGAUGCUGGCAGCAAGCACCCACUUUCAAUAUUUUGAUUAGUUCUGCUUGGCUUGUAUCAUCAGUUGAUUGAAUGUAAGAUUGUGCACAUUAAAUAGAGUAAUGUCUUUAUGGUGACUUGGCAAUUAUUAAACCACUAGAUUGUACCCCAAACUCCAUCUUCUCCAGAUAAAUAAAAAAAAAUCCAUCACUAUCCAUCCAAAUUGAGAUAGGAUUAUUAAGACAUACAUAUAAUUCAUAGAAAGACAUAAUAAUACACUUUUAGUAUGCUUCAGGCUGAACUUGCAAAUGCACACCCUGCUGUAGAAAGAACUCCACAUAGACAACUCAUGUUGGUGUUUGGGAGGUGUUAUUGUUCAAAAGCUCUCAAAGCCUGCUGGAUCUGUAGGCAUGCUUACUCUCUAAGGAUCAGGCCCCACUUACUCUGGUAUCAGUAGAGGAAAGGAGAGGAUGAAUUCCCUAAGCUUCCCUGCAAAAAGUGCAAAGCUAACCAGUAAUCUGUAAAUGUAGGGGUUCUUUACUCAAGUAGUCAUCAGACUAGUUCCUCAAACUUUUGUAGGGAAUGCAGGUCUUGUAUGUCACAGCAAUAACAGUGUAACUUUCACUAUUCCUUUCUGAUAAAAUAGUGUAAAAAACAAAAAAUGGAGGGGAAAUGUAAUAUUUUUUGACAAAUCCUAGCCCAUUUCUUGUGUACCUUUACAACUCUCCUGAAUUCACUUGCACAUAAGCCUCGAGCUUGAGGCCUGUAGACACGUCAAUCCUUGGUAAACAGAGCCACAGGGGCAGGACACUGUGACACUUGAGGCACCUGUUUUGUACUUGAGCUGCAGUGCUCAUCUCUGCCCUCCCUGCUUACUAAGAGGAGGAGAAUAUCUCUCCAGAAACAAGAGAUUAAUUCAAGUGUCUGAGGAGACAGUCACCUUAAAUCUGAUGAAUAAGUAAGAUGGUGUGUUUGGUCCUGUCUCUGUCUUGCUUUCUUUCAUGUUUGCUUGCACGUUUGGGCCAUAAUUAAAACAUUUGCUGAGUUAACCUCAGCCUCACAGAGCAAAUGAUCCAAACACAGAAAAUGUCUUCCAUAAGUUUUGUCAGCGGUUCAUCAAAUGAACCCAAUGUGGAAAGAGCUAUUCUCUAUGUACGACUGAAUGUAUCUGGUCCAUCUCCCAUCUGCCCACUUAGUGUAUUAGUAUUUUGUAACAAUUAAGAAAGAGUUUAUUGAAUCAAUUUAGUUAGAAUUUGGCGAUAAAAAUGUUUAACACUUCUUUUUUUCCCUCCUUUUGAAAAAUUCAAUCAAAAUACGAAAGAUCAUAAUAGAAAAGUGUCUUCAAUUUCUUAACAAACUGUUAAAAUGCCGUUCUUCAAAAAAUCUUUGAACAGCUACAGCAGAUUCUGCUGCCCAGUAACUUUGCGUAGGUGGACUCCCAGGCUGUGCCCAGACUUGUUGAAGACAGCAGGCAGUAUUCCUGCUUUGCAGUUCUCCUUGUGUGUGUUUGCCUGCAGGACUGGGGCUGGAGCUCACAUAUUGAAGAAAUGCAACUGCUU